UAAAGAUUACUAGAUGGGUCUUUUCUGUCUGUAAUGGCUUGUCACAAAAUAGAUAUUUGCCAAACCUUUUAUUUGUCCAAAUUACAUUAUAGUUAAUUAUUAAUGGGUGUGUUUUAUUAGUAGGUGUGGUUUUGAUUGUACAGUGAUACAAGAGAAGAUGCUUCAAGGGAUGAUGAUGGUGCCAGUGAGUGGAUGAAUUAAGAAAAGAAAGACGAUAAAUCCAUUUUGACAAAGACAGGCGGAGCUUAUAUUCCCCCAGCUCGAUAAAAAAUCAUGCAAACACAGAUACGACCAGUGCUCCAUAUCAAAGGAUGGCAUGGGAGGCUCUUAAUAAGAGUAUUAAUGGUCUGAUUAACAAGGUUAAUGUGUCAAAUAUUGCCAACAUUGUCAGGGAGUUAGUACAAGAAAGUUUAGUCCAUGGGUGGUAAAAUACUUACAUGUAUACUCUAAUUAUUCAUUUUCAAUAUUAUUUUGUUCUUUUUAUUAGAGGAUUAUUGGCACUUGCUGUCAUAGCUUAGUCAGCCUCACCCACCUUUACUAAGGUGUACGCUGCACUUGCAGUCAUUAAUCCUUUGCAAGAAACAACAAGAUUAUUUGUUUGUCGUCUGUCAGUGACUGUAUUACUGGAAGAUCCUACGAGCUACUGGUCAACUUGAAAAAAAUUAUAACAAUUAUUGAGAAGUAUUAAUUGCUAUGACAAAGCCUGACCGACCCCUUAUUGCCCAGGUGAUGUUGUACUCUCAGGGUUUCAGGACUGCCGAGACACUCACUAGCAAGAUACAUUGUAGUACCUUUAUUUAAAUUGUGUGAUGAGCAGUUAUCCAAUCAGUCUCACUAUGACUUUGGUCUGAGAGCCCUAAAGAGUGUACUGGUGAGUGCUGGUAAUAUCAAGAGGGACAGGAUCCAGCAACUGAACCGAGAACUGGCAGCUCAAGGACAGACACUGGAGGAAACUGAUCUAUCUAAGCAACUUUAUGAACAAGAGGA
rnacentral:lncRNA from 1 species